AUUUUCUGAAAAGUCAUUCAAACACAGUAUUUAAUACCCCCAAUGUAUUUGGAAAUCUGCAGCUCACUAACUAAUACUUGCUAAAAAAUGCAUAACCUAUUAUCAUUUUAUGUUAAGAACAAACUCUAUUUUGCGCUAUCCUAUAUUGGCAGAUUCAAAUUCUGACGCCAGUAACAAAAACUAAAGGUCCCCUUUGAGAAGCACAAAUAAGAUCAGCACCUAUGCUCGUAUUCAGAAUGGUUAUACCAUAGGAAGAUUGUGGACCAUCUUUAAUAGUGACAAGAAAUGUUUCACAAUCUAGCACCACCGACCCUCAAUUUGAUCUGCAGCCAUAUUGGAAAAAGUCACAGGACAGAGUUAGAAUUGGAACUGAAGAUAAGGCAGCCAUCCAUGGCAAGGAGAUAUGAUGGUAAUCUAAAUUCUUAUAUCAAAAUCCUUCAGGCAAAGCAAUAAUGAAAGUAUAGUCUCGGAUGCAAGAACCAGCAAGAUCUAAACUCAUAGAUAGGAAUCCCACUGAUAAACCUUAUCCCAGACUAGUUAAUCAGACAAUUCUCACUGCAGCCAAUCUUUUCUAUUGAGCAACACCAAGCUCCUUGAAAAUCUCCAAGUGAAUGAUUGUGAAAAGAUACUGUGCAUUCUAUAAAAUAACUUCUUCA